rnacentral:rRNA from 1 species
GGCUAGCGUUGCUCGGAAUUACUGGGCGUAAAGAGUGCGUAGGCGGUUUUCUAAGUUUGGUGUGAAAUCUCCCGGCUUAACUGGGAGGGUGCGCCGAAGACUGGAAGGCUUGAGUAUGGGAGAGGUAAGCGGAAUUCCUGGUGUAGCGGUGAAAUGCGUAGAUAUCAGGAGGAACACCUGCGGUGUAGACGGCUUACUGGACCAUAACUGACGCUGAGGCACGAAAGCGUGGGUAGCAAACAGG